rnacentral:lncRNA from 1 species
UAUUUGUCUCCCCUUUUUUCCUCAAACCCUAGAAUUUAAAACCUUCUCAUUCACGCCUUCAUUCUUCAAUCCUGUGCUCCAUUCAACCUUCAUUGAUAUGGAUUUUGAGAAUGAGAACCAGAGAGAGAAAGAGAGGAUUUGGGAGAAAGAGACCAUCUCUUAAUUCACCCUCAUCUUCUGUUCUGUUGAUUGCGGCGAGGUGUACCCCGCGGCGGCGUUGAUUACUUUGCGCAGAUUUGUGAUGUAAGGAGUCCGCGAAGCUAUUAAAACUUGACUUCUUCACCGAGUGCUAAACGGUGCGCAUCAAUCACGGGAUAACUACAAGGACAUCGAAAGGCUGUAGGACUACGACGACCGGCUCAACGAUUCCAACAGCAAAUAUCAGGUUCAGGUGUUGAGUUUUAUUUGUUGCUAGCCAACGGAGCAAGCAGAUAACUACUUCUUGAUUAUUAAUGUUCUAAACGUAACCCGUUUUGCAGGCAUUUGUUGGGGUUGUAGUCAUCGUAUUCAUUGGUAUAAGUCGUGGAUAUCUUCCAGCAACAAGGAAGACAAGGACACUAAUCUACAGUAUUUAAAAAAUAUCAAUAAAUUUCAUAAAGCUAACAAACCAUUUCAAACUUGUGUAGAGAUUUUGUACAACAAGUUUUUCUCUCUUUUGUACACCAAAUCCCCGCCGAUUCACUAAGCAGAUGACAAAACUACCCCACCAAAGAAAGGCAAGAAUCAUGGACUAGGCUCGAUGCUAUUGAUUCAAUAUGAUGAUUCACUUUUGGGGCUAGGCUCGAUGCCUUUUGGUAUAUCGUUGUUGUUGGUUGUGAUCAUUGUGUGGUUUUUGUUGCUACCACAUGGCUACCAGCAACAACCGAGUUGGUAAUGAGAUUUCACAUGGUACUGAGUUUCUGAGCCUGAUAAGAAUACUUGGAGAAGGCUUUGAUGAUUGGGUAGAAUUUAUGCAAGGAUGAAUUUUUAUUGUGUUGGCGGCCAAAAGAGAGGGUCAUUUGAAUGGCUUUACCUUCACUUGGAAACCAUAUGCAGUCAGGGUAGACUUAUCCUCUUCAUUUUGAAGAUAAAGUAUUAUGCAUUUUGGCGGGGCAACCGGUAUGGUGCUUUUUGUUAGGGAUCCUAUAUGUGUCAAUCAGUGAGCCUUUUUGUUGUUUACGAUUGUUAACUUCACAUAUUCUUCUCGUGUGAUUCGCUUUGCCGACAAAAGCAAUUUGGUGGCAUUCGUGAUGGUCAUGUGAUUGUAGUGAAUUGCUUUACAAUAUUAGUAGCAGUAUAUGUCAAUUAUAUUACUUUGCAUUUGAGUUGUAUAACUUGGCGAAGGUUGGAGAGAAUAGUCAUGCUAUGUUACCGGACUUGAAUGCCUUUUCAUGUGAAUUUGUUUCCUCACAAAAGGCAAGUCUUGGCAGCUUAGAUGGUCAUAUGAUAUCACAUGGCUAUCGGUUAAUUUGUAAUCUAUUUUGAAAAAAUUGAAUGCCAUGAAUUUGUUUGUUACUAUUUGUAUGUUUUUAACAGCACUUAUAUUAUGAAAAGAAACAGGGCAGAGGCCCUCCAGCUAUGAGCUAGAUUACAAAACGAGAAAUAAAAAUAAACACAUUACAAACUAGGCACAUCGAAGCGGGUUAGAACUCCAAGCCAUGAAGAUCCAAUAUUUGUGCUUAGCACGGUUCUUAAUCCAAUGGAGAUAAAGAGAAAGAUCUUGACAUGGAUAUUCUAUACAACCCCCUGGUGCAUAUGGAAGGAAAGAAACUGCGGAGUCUUCAGAAGAUCAUACACCACGGAUCAAAAGGUUUUGAAAGAUACUAUUUAUACGUACAUUUGAAAAAAUUAACUGCCCAUGAUUUUGUUUGUUACGGUAGCGAAUGAGUUGCAUGUUUUAUUUGUGAUUAUGUGACAGAAGGCUUCAUUUCAGUUGUUCAAUGUUUAUAAUUUGUUUAGCCAUAUAUUGCAGAACUUAUUAAUUUGAAUAACUUCAAAUAUUUGUGUAACAAUAAUUCUUUUUAAAUUUGUUAAAAAGAAUUCAUUUUUAGUUUAUGGUUAAAAACUGAUGACAUUCAUAAUAGAUACGGCUCAUGAACUUUUUGUUUAUUUAAGAAAAGUUAUACAACUUUGAAAAUAUUGAUUUAUUUUUUAUUUGCUUUUGUAUUAAAGUUUAAAAAUGUUGAAUUGUUUUGGGUAACCUAGAAGUAUUGUUAAAGUUUAAAAAUGUUGAGUUGUUUUGGGUAACCUAGAAAGCUGUUUGGUAUCUUUAGGCUUCUUGCAUUGUGUUCUUUUAAAUAUUAAAUAUCGAUUAAUUGUAUUGUUACAAUAAAGCAUGCACUUGGUCGUUUUUGUUUGAAUUUUUAAAUCUUUAUAUUAUUCCCAUUUCUUUUGUUUCGAUUAUGUUCGUUUUAAUCAUAUCUACUUAAUACAAACUAGCAUAAUUUCCCCGUGUGAUGCGAUGGUAAUUGGUCGAUAUUGGUUUGGUUUGUGACGAUAUUAGUGUGGUACCGACACUCGCUCUAAAGUCAUGUUAUGCACAAAAUAAUAUGUUUUACAUUGAAAACCAUGAAAAUGAAUACCAGUACAACGAUGUCGAUAUAAAACCAUAAAAGCGAAUGCCGAUACUGGUUCUGAUAAUAACAAU